ensembl:lncRNA
AGCUCUAGCUAGCCCUCCAAGAGCCUCUCUGCCUACCAGCCUACCUAGUCAGCCAACUACUCUCUCUUCUAUGAUACAUCCUUGAUUUAUUGUAUCUGGAUGAAAUAUAGUCUAUUCAGAGUCAGAAAUCAAAAGGCUUAGAUUGAAGUUCUAGCUCUGCUACUUUCUAGCGAUAUAUUUGAACCUCUGUUUCCUCAGAGGUAAAAUCGAAAUUAUAAUUUCCAUAAAUUCAAGAAAUGAGCUCAAAGGGGAUAAUGCAUAUGAAGCUCACUGAAAACUGUAGAGCACCAUAAAGAAGUACAAUGUCAAGUAUUUCUGCACCCACUUGGUAGCAGUCACAACCUUACAGUUCACCCCAUGAAGACAUGAACAAAGUUAAGACCCUGGCAGGAAAGAGGAACUCUCUAGGCAUUUACUCUUAGCACUGUUAUGCUGUAGAAACAAGAAUUUGUCCACUGGCUCUAUCUGAAUGCCAACUAAUGGGCACAAGGUUCUUGUGAGAACGAAAAUACUACAAAUAUGAGUGAUGGUUCCUAAGGCGUGAGCCUCUGUCAGUAUUAUGAGUAUACAGCAUAAGCUUCAACCUUGGCAGGAGACAAAUUAGUGGCCACCUAUGAGGUACAACAUAAAAAAUUCCAGAUAAGUUCCUGUUUCUUAGUGAUUCUCCCUCCAUUCUCCAAUACCCUCCACAGUUCAUUAUUAGAGCUUCAUUUAGUCAAGCUUUGGAGGGUUUUUGGUCUUCAAAUGCCCCUUAUUUAAACCUGUGAGCCCUUAAAUCGCUUCCAUCUCAUACCUUAGUGAGUUUAGCUGAAGGUGAAGAGGAGCAGAAUCAUACAGAAUAGAAGUCAAGAGGGGAAGGGAAGAGUGGAGGGCCUUGGAGGUUCAUGAGAGGGUCAAAGAGGGGACCAGGAGGACUGAAAACAAAGUCCACACUCAGCCUAGUUUUGCUUUAGCCAGACCUUGUUAAUAUAUGUUGCUUGGCUGUCAUUCUUUUUGUAUCCAGCAGCUUACAAUUAGCCUUGAUGGCUGAUGAAGCAAAAGUGAAAAGAACAUGUGAUUUUUUUUUUUUAACUUUUAAAUGUUAUCUCUGGACCUGUCUCAGCCCACACAGAGGUCAGAGAGGAAGGUGGGGGCUGCUGGCAAGAGGGGGACCUGCCUUGUGGUUUGAGCCCAAAGCCGAUGGGGCUUCCCACCAGCAGCCCUAGCUUGGCAGCAUGGCACUGGAGGCAUGCCUCUUUGGAAACGUAUCGGAGCCCUGCCUAACUGUGUCUGCUCCUCCUCAACAUGCUUCCUUUUCCAUCUACAGUAUUUAGAAAGAUGAGAGACAACGCUGCGAAGAACACAAAGGCUUUUGCAAUUCCGUCUCUGGCUUCACAUUCAAAGCUGUUGCUAUCAGGGUUGGAUUUAGCAACUUGGCAUUCACUUCACAGGACCACCCCUGUUGGCGGCCAUCUGGAGUCUUUUGGAGAAUUUUUAAAGAGACAGUGCUUAGAGAGCAUUUGGUAGUGGAGAAAGCUCUAGUAUUCAAUCCAGGAAGCCUGGUCUGCGCCCACGAUGAGUAGCUAAGUGACCUUGGGCAAUCCACUGCACUUCCUUGAACCUCUGUCUCUUCAUCAGUUCAGUGAUUUGUCAAUUUCUUGCAAGAUUUAAUAGUCUAGGGCAAAGGUCCCCAAAGUGUGGUCUCUGGAGGUGCAGCAGUCAGUAUCUAGCAGAGCCUAGUAGAAGGCACAUUCUCAGCCCCCACCCAGGCCUCCUGAAUCAAAAAUCCUGGGAGGAGGGCCCAGCAAUCUCUGUUUAAGAAACAGUCCAGGGGAUUCUGACACACAGCCAAAUUGGAGAACCACUGCUGUAGGGCUCCUUGUUCCCCUUCUGCUGUUGCCAGUGUGCCUGGGCAACACUGAUUUGCUGUUGGUCAAAAGUUUCUGACUGGUGGCCCAAGGAAGCACUCACUUGCAAAAGAUGGCUGAGCCCACAGCUGGAGAGGCCCAAAUCAGAGAGGCAGGGAACCUGGAGGAAAGCCCUGCCUCACUUCCCCAGCCCCUCCCACUGCCAAAGUUUCAGAAAACUUGGAGGCUUGUCUAUUGAACAGCUCUACAUCAUACCAUGGUCCCUACAGAUGGUCAGCUGACUUUCCACUGGGUUUGGCCAAUAGAAGAAAUCUGGUGAGAGAAAAGAAUGAAGAAAUAGUCUCAGAAGCAUUGAGAAAUCACCCCAAGGUCACAAGCUCUUGCUGGAACU